rnacentral:rRNA from 1 species
CGGCGGACGGGUGAGUAACGCGUGGGUAACCUGCCUCAUACAGGGGGAUAACAGUUAGAAAUGACUGCUAAUACCGCAUAAGCACACAGCUUCGCAUGGAGCAGUGUGAAAAACUCCGGUGGUAUGAGAUGGACCCGCGUCUGAUUAGCUAGUUGGUAAGGUAACGGCUUACCAAGGCGACGAUCAGUAGCCGACCUGAGAGGGUGACCGGCCACAUUGGGACUGAGACACGGCCCAAACUCCUACGGGAGGCAGCAUG